GGUGGGGUGGCCGAGCGGUCUAAGGCGCCAGACUAAGGAUCAGGCUAUAUGGAUAGCCAGGAUAUCUGGUCCGAAAGGGCGCGGGUUCGAAUCCCGCCCCCAUCA
rfam:Piloderma croceum F 1598 unplaced genomic scaffold scaffold_00023, whole genome shotgun sequence.